rnacentral:misc_RNA from 1 species
CUCGAGUCCCUCAAGGGUCAGCGGGAACAUGCGCUCCGAGAACAGACGGCGGAUUACGGUGGUGGAUUCCGAAUAAUCCCAAUGCUUGCGCGCGACGGGAUUGAGCCAGACCGCGUGCGGAUAGGUCCGCGUCACGCGCUCCAGCCACACCGAGCCCGGCUCCUCGUUGACGUGUUCAACCGAACCGCCCGGCACCACGAUCUCGUACGGCGACAUCGACGCGUCGCCGACGAACACAACCUUAUAGUCGUGCGGAUACUUGUGAAGAAUAUCCCAGGUCGGAGUACGAUCGGUGAAGCGGCGCUUGUUGCUCUUCCACACGCCUUCAUAGAGGCAGUUGUGGAAGUAGAAAUACUCCAUGUGCUUGAACUCGGUCUUCGCCGCCGAGAACAGUUCCUCGACC